ensembl:lncRNA
UGGCUUAAAUUGCUUCGCUAAUAGGAAUAUGCCAGUGUGCUUUUGUGAUGUUUAAUUAUGAAUAAUUGUUUCUUAUGUUUAUCCAAAUAGAUUCCCCCUCAGUCGCCCUGUUUGGAUCAGAACUCAGAGAGGAAAGAUGCAUCAAACGCACCGUGAAAUCCACAGGAGGGGAUGUGCCCCGCACUUGAACUCGGGAAGGAUUUUUUUUUCGAUUGUGAAGCCCGUGGCACCUGUACCAACCGCAGGACCAUCUGCUUGGCAUUCAGCGUCCAAUAACACAUUUCUGGGAUAAACUCCCUCACACACACACACACACACACACACUCAGGCAGAGGUUGGUGGGAGGUGGAGAGGCUGCGGGCCGACCGCUGGUGAAGAAUGACAGAGGUCUGUUAGACACAUUGUUUUAAUUGCGAUGUGAAGAUGCCCCAGCUGGGCUCUGGGAGGAGCGGGACGGUUAUCUGGGGAGGUCGGGAUGGGAAUUUUUAGGGGGGAAUUCUGUCCAGAGGAAUGUGCUGUAACCUGAUCUGUAAAUGAAGAGAAUCAAAGAGUAUUAAGAGCGUUUUGCUGGCCCUCGCUGCCCCGCGGCCGAGGCCACAGGUGUUUGGCAAAUACUGUGUUUUGUGAAGG